rnacentral:rRNA from 1 species
GUUUUUAACAUUAGAUUGCAAAGGGCUCAUUAUAACAGUUGUGAUAAAUUUGAGGUUAUUUUAUAGGUGGAUACUUAUGAUAAACUUAUGAAAAAUACAGUUAAUUAAAAUAUUUUUUUAUUUGGCAUUUUUUACAAAUCAAACCAAAAUGUUUUAUCAUUGUGGAUGAUUCAUAGUAAUGUUUGGAGAACGCUUUGAUAUGCGUCAUAUCUUCACGGUUUCUGACCUAUCAGUUAGUCAGUAAUGUAUUGGACUACUGAAGCGUUGACGGGUAACAGAGAAUUAGGGUUCUGUUCCGGAGAGGGAGCCUGAGAAACAGCUACUACAUCUAAGGAAGGCAGCAGGCGCGUAAAUUACCCAAUUCUGAUAAAGAGAGGUAGUGAUAAGAAAUCACAAUAUUUUGCCUUAGGGUUAAGUAAUUGAAUUGAGAACACAGCAGCCAUAUUAUCGAUAAACUAUUGGAGGGCAAGUCUGGUGCCAGCAGUCGCGGUAAUUCCAGCUCCAAUGGUGUAUGCUAAUAUUGUUGCAGUUAAAAAGCUCGUAGUCGAAUUUGUAAGAAAAUUAAUUUUAUGUAAUCGUAAUGAAUAACAAAAAAAGAAGAUAUAUCUUAUUUUAUGCUUAUGCACCGUUGGAAUUCAUUUUUUGAUGGUGGACUAAAUAUGUGUUUACUUUGAAAAAAUUAGAGUGUUUAAAACAGUCUUUGCGGCUUUAUAUUAAAGCAUGGAAUGAUAAAUAAUGACAUCGGUUAAUUUUUGUUGGGAUGAGAGGCUGAUGUAAUGAUAUAUAGAGUUAGUCGGAGGUAUUAGUAUUCUAUCGUUAGAAGUGAAAUUCUCGGAUCGUUAAAAGACUAACAACUGCAAAAGCAUUUGCCUAGAAUUUGCUCAUUGAUCAAGAACGUAAGUUGAGGGAUCGAAGACGAUCAGAUACCGUCGUAGUCUCAACUUUAAACUAUACCGGCUAGGGAUUGGCAAAUGUUUAUAUGACAUUGUUAGAACCUUUGGAGAAAUCAAAGCGUUUGGGUUCCGGGGGAAGUAUGGUCGCAAGGUUGAAACUUAAAGGAAUUGACGGAAGGGCACCACAAGAUGUGGAUCCUGUGGCUUAAUUUGACUCAACACUGGAAAACUUACCAGGUCCAGACAUAGGUAGGAUUGACAGAUUGAUAGUUUUUUCUUGAUUCUAUGGGUGGUGGUGCAUGGCCGUUCUUAGUUGGUGGAGUGAUUUGUCUGGUUAAUUCCGUUAACGAACGAGACUUCCACAUGAUAAAUAGCACAAUUUUUUGAAAAGAAUCUUUGCUUCUUA